rnacentral:rRNA from 1 species
GACGAACGCUGGCGGCGUGCUUAACACAUGCAAGUCGAACGGAAAGGCCCUGCUUUUGUUGCGUGCUCGAGUGGCGAACGCGUGAGUAACACACGAGUAACCUGCCCUUGACUUUGGGAUAACUUCAGGGAACUGCGGCUAAUACCGGAUAGGAGAUCCUGCUGCGUGGUGUGGGUUGGAAAGUUUCGGCGGUUGGGGAUGGACUCGCGGGUUAUCCGCUUGUUGGUGGGGUAGUGGCUUUCCAAGGGUUUGACGGGUAGCCGGCAUGAGAGCGUGACCGGCGUCAAGAGUACUGAGAGACGGCGCAGAAUCCUACGGGAGGCAGCAGUCGGGAAUCUUGCAGAAUGGGCGGAAGCGUGAGGCAGCAACGCUGGGAUCGUGAUGAUCGCCUUCUGGUGGUAAACCGCUUUGGCCGUUGAUGUAGACGGCGUGACGGUAAUGAGUAAAGAAGCCCCGGCUAACUACGUG